rnacentral:misc_RNA from 1 species
UAAUAAGUGUUUUAUGGCACUUUUUAAAUCCAUAUCCACCUUGUGUGCAAUGUCAGUCGAUCUUCUUCAUGGAGAUCGACCAAACAUCAACCUUUAUUUUUUAACUCUUGUCUGAAAAAUAUAUGAAUAAACAAUUCAAAUA